GGAGCCGCGCGCACGUUGCUGCCGGGACCCGCCGCGGCGAUGAGCAGCUGCAUCUGUCGAGGCCGCUUAGUCCUUUUCCGUCGGUGGAGACGCUGGGACCCGGGCCUGGGACACGUGGGCGCCCAGGGCCUCGCCGCAGCGCAGCGCCCGAGACGCACAGGUGUUGGAAAAUCCCCACUGAAUGAAUCAAAAAAAAAUUAAACGUAUCCUGGGAACAUGCCGUUCAGGGUUUUGGAAUGGGAACUUCAAACGAAGUUGGUAAAGGAGUCAAAUGCGAUGGUGUGUUUUCCUAAUGAUGCAGAAUCUCUCGUUAAGUUCAGGAAACAGGAUAUAAGGAUAAGUCAAUUGACUCAAUUUAUGGACAUAAUAAAACGGUCCCUAUUACCUUCAGCAGUCAAGGCAAGACAAGGUGAAACACAGUGUUGUAAAGUUAUUAUGACAAAAUAGUUUAGUAUUUACCUGACCAAAUAAAGUGAAAAUACUGCAUUUAUUUUUGAAGCGG
rnacentral:lncRNA from 1 species